UUGCACGCUGGCGGCAUGCUUUACCCCUGCAAGUCGAACGGCAGCGCGGGCUUCGGCCUGGCGGCGAGUGGCGAACGGGUGAGUAAUGCAUCGGAACGUGCCCAGUAGUGGGGGAUAGCCCGGCGAAAGCCGGAUUAAUACCGCAUACGACCUGAGGGUGAAAGCGGGGGACCGAAAGGCCUCGCGCUAUUGGAGCGGCCGAUGUCGGAUUAGCUAGUUGGUGGGGUAAAGGCUUACCAAGGCGACGAUCCGUAGCUGGUCUGAGAGGACGACCAGCCACACUGGGACUGAGACACGGCCCAGACUCCUACGGGAGGCAGCAGUGGGGAAUUUUGGACAAUGGGGGCAACCCUGAUCCAGCCAUGCCGCGUGCGGGAAGAAGGCCUUCGGGUUGUAAACCGCUUUUGUUCGGGAAGAAAUCCUCUGGGCUAAUACCCCGGGGGGAUGACGGUACCGGAAGAAUAAGCACCGGCUAACUACGUG
rnacentral:rRNA from 1 species